UUGUACAUUGAGAAACAAAACAAUCUGAUUCUGAGAUGGAUUCCGAUUAGAAACUGGAGGCUCUGAUCGCGAUUUCUUUUCCAAGUGCCUCUCGCAACUUGAAAUUUCCGGCACCGGAAUUUGCGGCAUUGCUGGGAUUCUUUUCUAUUAAUCGAUUUUUUUGGUAAGGUCCAUUCCUCCCUCCUCUCUGUUUAUCACUUUAUGUGGUGCUUUCUUUGAAUUAAAGCAUGAUACCUGCGUCCUAGUCUCCGUAGUUCACUUUCCAAGCGUGUUUAAGAAUAAUUCAGAAUAUUUGCUAUUUUGGGCAUCAGUCUUUGGGCCCAAGAAGAGGGAUUGAUGUUAAUUUGACGGCUCUAUGUCAUUCUGUAGAUUAGUUUAAUCCUUGUUUCGAGUUUGUUUCGUGUGUUCUCACAGGAAUAGGGCAUGGAUCUAAGUCUGGUAUUAAGUGUUGAAGCCUAGCUUUUAAAUUGUCAGUUUCAUUCUCGUUGUGUUUUGGUUCAAUCUAUGUCUGGUAUUGAAUUAGUAAAGUCUUUAGUCCGUUUCAGGGUAUCCAUGUUGUAGGUUGCUGCUGAUUACACUCCCUCUUCAGCAUAUCUGUCCAUUUCUAACUCUAGAAAUUAGUAUCAUUGUUGUCUGUGCUUAUAUCACUACAUUGAAGAUUAUGGGUUUGCAUGAAGAAUAAAAUCAGGGUUCAAAUUGACUUUUUUUUUUGCUUAUGGGUUUAAUGACAUGCGGUUUCUUUUAUUUUGGGCAUUUGAUGGGUUAAUUUUGAGAGCCUAUGAAUUGGGGGCAAAACCACAGAUAGCCAUUCUCAUGGAUGUUAUUCAAAGAUUAGUCUUACUUAUUUUGUCCUGAAAUUUUAAACUAUAAAUCUUUACUUCAGGACAAUUCAUGAAAUUUUUAUCCUGAAAAAUAUAGCUGAAAACCUGAAAUUCAGAAUGCACCGGUUAAUUCUAAAUAGCAGCCCCGUAAAGUAGCUACUUGGUGUCAUUUCCAAAUGAAUUAGAGAAUAAACAAAUUUUGGGCUUUUAAUUAAGAAUUGUGAUUUUUCUGGGCCGGAGAGAUCUUUUUUAGGUAUAGGCUUGUGGAAAUAAAAUGAGAACUUGGAUUGUCGUUUAGUCAUUUGCUCUUUGUUUUUAGGGACAAUUGAUUAUCAUAAGUUUCAUUAAUAACAGGUGUCAUAAGGUAAAUUCAAAGUCAAUUAUGUCAUAUUUCUCUACCUCACCCGGUAGGGGUAAGGUCUGCGUACACCCACACUCCCCAUAUAUCACACUGGGUAUGUUGUUGUUGUUAGGUCACACUUCAAUUUCAUUCUGCAAGUGGUCUUGAAUUAUAGUAGUCCUGAAUCUUCUUAGUUUUUUUUAAGUGUCACGGGUGACAGCAAGAAAAUUUAGAAAUUUGAUUGGGGCCAAAAGCCCAUUUUUCAGUGAAAUUCUUGGGUCAAAGUUGUCUUGGUAUUCCAAAAGGAGCUGGUAUCAUGAUUUGUUCAUACAUAUCAAAUGCUUACUGUUUAUCCUCAUGUUCACUUGGAAAUGUUGUGUCUUCAAUUGUGCUGCUGAGCAUUUCCCGUUUAUUUGAUUCGAUAUUAAGACGGUUGAUAGAUUGAUGCAUGAAGCCUCUAAAAGAAUUUGGGAAUUUGAUAAACUUGAGUUGGAGAAUUUGAAAUGGGCCAUGUGUGGAGAAGAACAUAAAGAGAUUUGUUGGGCCAAGUUUUGAGACAGAAGAGAGUUGGGCUUGAUUUGAAUUGAUCUUGGCCCAAAGAAUAAAUUUAAAGGUGGUGGGUGGGCUCAAAUAAGAUAAGCUGACUCCUAAAAUAAUAAAUAGUUUGUGAGGUUUAAUGAGAUUGUAGAGAUGAAUUGAAGAAAUUGUAGUUCAGUUGCGUUAGCGGAGACUUUGCCUCUGGGUUCGUCUUUUGAAUAGUUGAGACAUUCAUCUGAUAGGCAGUUUGAGGGUUUCUACUUGUCUUUUUUUUAUUUAAAUAUGAACCGGAUGCUUUAAAGGCUUUACUAAAUUGUUGGGUUCAUUUGUUUGAUGUCCAAGUAUGUUUGGCAUAAUCUAUGAUUUUCAAAAUAGUUGGUACUCUGGCAACAUGUACAACUGAUUAAGUGUGUCAAUUCUGAACUUAAUUUUUAUACAUGUUUGGUAAUUUAGGUGAUGGUGAAUUGAAUCUUUAUUAUCUCUGUCAGUCCUGUUUUCCUGUUUUAUUCACAGUAAUUGAACAUGAAAGUGAUAUUGUCAUGAGUAGAUUAUUUGUAGUUUAAUCUGAACUCCAUGUGUUUAGACAACAAAAAUUGAUAACCUGUGUUAUAGAAAGUCUAAUUUUUAUGUUUGGUUCAAAGACAGAAUGAGUGAUUGAUCAAAUGAUGUUGUUGUGGCUCACUCUGUUUUCUUUUUACUGGUUUACAAUUGUAUUUAGCCAAUUCUUGUUCUCAAGGGGCUUAUCACUCUUCGAAGCCUAAUAUCAUUUACCAAUACUGCUAAUUAGGAAGUAUGAACGACCAAGACCAUAGGAUCAUGAUAACCACUCGGCAAGAACAUGUGCCAUACUGAUCUGAAUGCUUUUGUAGUAUUUUUCAGUUUAUAUCUUGAAUAUUUGAUAUAUUAGCUAAGUUUUCUGGGACUGCUUCAAGUUUGCUAUAAGAUAUAGAACAAGUUGCUUUAGCCUAGGAAAGUUGCCAUUUUAAGCCCUCUAGGUUUUCAAGUUUGUCCUUCAAUCCGCAACACUAAGAGACUAAAGAGGCCACCAAUGUCUGGCUUCUAUGAAUGCAUUUUCUUUUAACUUUAGGACUUCAAGGACAUUGAUUUCUCUUACAAUAGUUAGUUCGCUCCCCUCUAACUGGUUCCAGAGAAGGUCAGCUUCCUCCGGGUUUUCAGAAGUAUGAAGGUCAACUUCCUCAGGGUUUUCAGAAGUAUGAAUAACCAAGACCACAUGAACAUGGUAACUAUUUGGCAAGCAAAUGUCACAACUUAUUUCAAUGCAAAUAUCCGUAAGAGAGUUUUCAGAAGAUGAUGAAAGCUGAAUUUUGCUAGAAUAAAGUUUUCAAGUCUAAAAGUUGCACUCAAGUAAUGAGUAACAAGAACAAGGAAAAAUCAUAACUGAAAAAUAUAGUGGACUACCACUUAUUCUGAAAAAUAUAGUGGAGUUACAAGCUCAGGUAGUCCAUCAUAUUUUUCCUUGUUCUUCUAACUCAGUAUUUGAGCAACUUUCAAACUUGAAAACCUUUUUAAAAGCAAAAUCCAACUUUAAUCAUCUUCUAGAAACUUUAGCUUAUUAAUAUUUGCAUUGCAAUAAGUUGACAUAUCUUCUUGCCGAGUGGUUAACAUGAAUUUGUGGCCUUGGUUGUUCAUACUUAUGAAGAUCCAGACGAAUCGAUUUCUUUGAAGUCUUAGAGUUGAAAGAGAAUGUAUUAAUGGGAUUCAUUGAUGGUCUCCAUAGUUAUGUGGAUUGAAGGACAAACUUGAAAAAACUCAAGGGCUUCGAAUCGCAACUUUCUGGGCUAAAGCAACUUGUUCUUAUGUCUUUUGGAAGCUUCAAGCAAUACCAGAAUGCUUGGCUGAUGUAUUCAACCUUCAAAGAUAUGAAACUGAAAAAUACUAUAAGAGCAUUCAGGUCAGCAAAAGAAAAUAUAGGAGAAGAAGCUGGAACGCGCGCCAACUCAAGCACUGAUUUAAAGCUCUCGAUGGUGCUCUUGAUUUUUUAUCAAUGCAGUAAUACACAGGUUUGUUUUUGCCCUCAUGUUUGGAAAUGAAGCAACAUUUAAUUAAUCCAUACUAUCAUUUAUGUUCUCUUUUUCAUUCAAAAUAACAAUAUCUCAUUUGUAUGUCUUCUAAGUACCAGGCUUUUUUCCUUAUGUUUAUUCUAUUGAUUCAUUUUCUUUCUUAUACGCUUUUAUUAAUGGUAUAUAUGUAUGCAUGUCUGUGUUGUGUUAUUCUGCAUCUGUUAUGUUAUAUGCUAUGACUUAAUAGCUGCUUCAAUCUUGACUUAAUAGUGGAUCACUCUCUCUCUCUCUCUCUCUUUCUAUUUUUUUUUGGUGAAUAGAAAUGAAUAAAGAAGAACAUAGUAAACCGAAGCUAUCACGCAAUUUAACUCUUUUCUUUUCUUUCUAUUCUUCCCUGUGCUGACAUGUCAGCAGUGACCUAUUAUUGGUUUCCGUACCCAGCCUCUCAUUCCUCUCUUUUCCCCUUUCCUUUUCUUCUCCUGUCAGCUCCCCUUCCNNNNNNNNNNNNNNNNNNNNNNNNNNNNNNNNNNNNNNNNNNNNNNNNNNNNNNNNNNNNNNNNNNNNNNNNNNNNNNNNNNNNNNNNNNNNNNNNNNNNNNNNNNNNNNNNNNNNNNNNNNNNNNNNNNNNNNNNNNNNNNNNNNNNNNNNNNNNNNNNNNNNNNNNNNNNNNNNNNNNNNNNNNNNNNNNNNNNNNNNNNNNNNNNNNNNNNNNNNNNNNNNNNNNNNNNNNNNNNNNNNNNNNNNNNNNNNNNNNNNNNNNNNNNNNNNNNNNNNNNNNNNNNNNNNNNNNNNNNNNNNNNNNNNNNNNNNNNNNNNNNNNNNNNNNNNNNNNNNNNNNNNNNNNNNNNNNNNNNNNNNNNNNNNNNNNNNNNNNNNNNNNNNNNNNNNNNNNNNNNNNNNNNNNNNNNNNNNNNNNNNNNNNNNNNNNNNNNNNNNNNNNNNNNNNNNNNNNNNNNNNNNNNNNNNNNNNNNNNNNNNNNNNNNNNNNNNNNNNNNNNNNNNNNNNNNNNUUUGCUGCUCCUGCAGCACCUCCUCAUUUUCGGUAUCUCUCUCUCUCUCUCUCUCUCUCUCUCUCUCUGUCGCACGCGCUUCCUUGCCUGUCUGCCCCUUAUUCAUGUUCUUCCUUCCUAUCAGAUCACUAGUGAUUCUAUGGAUCCAAGCGGCUUCUUCUCUCCCUCUGAUUUUCUUUUCCUUCUCCAUGUGUAAGAAUCUUCUUGUUUCCCUAUUCUUCAUUAAUCCUUUGAUGCCUUUCUGUUCUUUCCUAGAAUCCUGCUUUCAAGCUACUGCGUCAGCAACUUCUUCUUCCGCUUUCUUUUUCUUUCUUUGGUACGUCCUGUUUUCUCUUAUUCACCGCUUCUGCAUUUCGUCCUCUCUUCUUCCUUGGAAAUUCCCUGUCUGCCCAUGGCAUCGACACUCUUCUUAUUAGCCCCUUUGUUUUUUCUGUUCUUUUCCGGCAUUCAUCCUUUUCUGCUGUUCUGGUUUACACUGGAUGCUCUAAUUUUUCGUUCUUCCCCUUAUCCUCUCCUUCCUUUUUCUGACUAUAUCCUUGUUGAUUUAAGUAUCUAUUAAACCAUCAAAACAAAAUGACUAAAAAAAGUGUGUUACUUUGAGUACUUUUUCUGUAAAUAAUUGUUGCUGAAAAGUAUGUUAGUUACAAUUGUGUGCUCCUGGUGCAUUUUACUCUUUUUAUGUAAUGACUUGCCAGAUCUACUCUUGAAUUCUUUCCCAAAAUGUCUAGUUUUUUUUUUUUGAUUUGUGACACUUAGUUAAAAAGUUGGAUAUUAAGGAAGAGGAAUCAUGCCUGGAUAUAAUUUAACAAGGGAAAAACAUUGGUUUUGUAUGAACUAGCUGAAUUCAUUAGCUUAGGCUUCCAGUUUAUGAAAAACAAGUGUUCUAUUACUCCUAUUAUUCUGAAACUUUUGCAGUAUCUAUAAUUAUUAGUAAACUUAACUUCCCCCUUCAUGGAAAGAUUACCAAAUGAAAUUUAAGCAUAAGCAAGCCUUUGAAUUUGGAUCUACUACUUCAACACAAAUUGAGAAUGAAGUUAGGAACAGAGAUAUAUUUGUUAAUAAUGAAAAGGUCAAACUGCACAAUGUAGAAGAUUCCACCUUAAUAUCUUUUAAAUCCAAGGUCAACGGGUUUCACAAUGGAAACUAGACUUUUUCAAAUAAAAAGAAAAAUGAUUUGAAUCCAAGAGCAGAAUUAAUAAGAAGAAAAGAGAACAACAACAACAACAACCCAAACCCAGUGUAGUCCCACAAGUGGGUUCUGGGGAGGGUAGGAUGUACGCAGCUUUACCCCUGCCCUGGAAUGUAGAAGAAAAGAGAACUUUGCUUUAAAUGUAGUAAAAUGGGCAUUUGGUUAGAGUUUGUAAAAUUUUCAAAGGUAAGAGAGAAGAAGCCAAUUCCAUGGAUGAGGAUGAUAAGUUGAUAACAUGAUGGUCGUUCUUACCUAAAUUCAUAUGGUGGAUAAAAAAGAGGAGUAGCAGUCCAUGUCACUCCAUGUAAAAAUGUCUUCAAGACAUACAAUGAAGUUGAUGGUGACAUUAUAUCAAUUUAUGAUCAUAACACUUGGACUUUGACAAAGUUUCCUCCUAAUACUUCGGCAAUUGGUUGUAAAUGGGUUCUAAAACUUAAAGCUGAUGGGAGUAUAGGUAGUUAUAAAGUAACACUAGUUGCAAAAGGUUAUAGCCAAAAGAAGAAGCUCCGCAAAUGGAUGCCAAAAUGACAUUUCUCAAUGGUGAGUUAGAUGAAAUUUUUAUAUCCAACAACCUGAAGGUUAUGUGGUGAAAUGAGAAGAAUACAAGGUAUGAAAGCUCAGGUAAUCUUUAUAUGGUCUUAACCAAGAGACAAGAUAAUGGUAUGAAAAAUUUAGAUUAACUAUAUUGGAUUUAAGUGUGGUAAAGUAGAAGAGUGUAUUUUCUAUGAAGGCAAAAACACACACAUGAUUAUAAAGUUCUUACAUCUUUAUAUAUUAUGAGUUGCUUAUUUUUGGAUCUAACAUAGCAUGUGGUUAUGAAACUGAGCAAUAUCUAAUGAAUUAAUGUUUAGGUCUUGUUGAUGUAUACUAGGAAUUAAAGUAGUUAGAAAAGAAAUUGAUUUUCUCACACAAUCAUUUUAUACUGAGAAAAUACUUUGGAAAAUUUAAUCAUUAUGACCGCAAACCAAGUUAAACUCCUCUUAAUCCUCACACUAAAUUAGUGCCUUGUGCCUAAUGUUAAUGAUCCGGUUAAUCAAGAAGAGUGUGCUAAAAUAAUUGGUAAUUUGAUGUCUUGAGUUAGGCUAAACAAGACAUUGCAUGUGUUGUUGGUAAGCUUAGUAGAUUUUCUAGUAAUCCUAGUCAUGAGCAUUGGAAAAGCAUUAGUAAAAUAAUGAAAUAUUUGAAGCAUACUUUAAAGUUUAAACUAUGGUUUGCAUUACAAAUGUACAUCUUCUAUUUGGGAUGUAAUAGUGAUGCUAAUUGGGCUGUUGACUGAAGAAAUUCUAAAUCUACAAGUGGAUGGUUACAAUUUGGUCAAAUAAUUUUUUCUCUCGAUUUGUUUAUUCAUCUCUUGCAUUUUUAGUUAGGAAAUUAAGUUCUCCUUUUGUGCAGCUUUAUGUGACGCUUUUUCCUUUUUAAUCUUUUCCAAAAAUAAUGACACCUUUAUAUAUUUAGAAAAAAAAAAGAUAAUUAUAAAGUUUUCAUUUUACCCUUAAGACGUGAUUUUAUAGUCACAAAAAUACCACAAUUUUCAAAAGACUCUUUCUUUCUUAAACUCCGUGCUUUGUCAAGCAACUUUGCUUAAAAUGAAACAGAGAGAAGUAAUCAUAUUAGCCAUAUUAGAGAGUUGCGAACUAAUCAUCUGGUUGCAUUCUUUUAGCUUAUUUUGGCCCAAAACUUGAUGGAUUAAUUUGGAUUUAACCCAUUCUGAAAAAUCUUAAUCAUGCCAAUGACCAACUUUGGAUGGGUUACACAAACUUGAUGCUCUAGUCAGAAGAUCGCGGAGCUGUAAAUAAUGCCCCUUCGUAAUCCAAUUUAAUGCUCUAUUUUAGUUGUAAUAAUUCAAUAUCUAACAAGUCAUGUCUUUCUAGUUGGUUAGUAUACCAUGCAUCAUACACUUAUCUUUGCAUCCCUACAGCCUUACUGAAGACUGGUGAGUGAGGCAUUUUGCUAGAAGUGGAGGAAUCCUCAUUUUAUUUUGACUUUAUUGACAAGAAGGGUCACCAGUAUAGCUGUGUUGGCUUUUUCCCAAUAGAACAUGAUAGACUUGAGCAGAUUGUCAAAACAUACAGGGAGGCGGGUUUGUCAAUGCUUGAACUGAUUGAUCUAAGCUAGCCCGACGAGAAUCAAAUUCCAGAGCAAACAAGAGUGAUAAUCAGUUAAUAAAAAGAAAGAAUAAUAGCUUUACACCGACCUUGAAGAGGAAGUGAACUAGGAUUAGUUCAAGUACCUAUUGGGAAUUCUUUAUCUGAUCAGUUAAUCAUGGUUUCCUGAUGUUCCCAAUAUGUUGCAGAUAGUAUAAAAGACUUCUUAUAAGUAGCUUUUUUCUUAGAAUUUUUGCCUUUUGGGCCAGGUGUCAACAGAUUCUUUACAAUUUAAUUCAAUCAUUAAUCAAGUACACGUCGACCAUAGACUAGUUGGGGUUGGCUGUAUGAAUUAUGUGUAUCUAUCCCGCUAUUCAGGCAAAUGUCCUUCCAAUGCGUAGUAAUUUGUCUUUGAACGAAAAGUAGGAAUUCUUCUAAAACUAGAGGUUCUCUAGAUGUUGCUCUUCCCUGCAUGGACAAACAAGUCUCUAACAAAAAAGCACUCCUGGUCAAUCACAAACCUAUUUCGAGUGUAACAACAAAAAUUAUGCCUUGAUCCUUGCUAAUAAUUAUUACCACUAUGGAUCCUUUGUUUCACAUUGUAAUUUGUCUUAAUUAAGUUGUCAUUAAUGCAGAGAUAGUAAGUCUUAUGACCACUGGCGGCCCGACGAAUUUUGUGGCCUAAAACCAAACUUUAUGAGGGGCCUUAAUUUAAAAAAAAAUUAUUAUAUAUUUGAAGUCUAUUGUUUUUAAGCUUUUCUUAGAUACAAAGUUGUUAAUAAUUUUCUUAUAAUCAAUAACUCCUAAUAAGUAUUUCUCAAUUGACAAUAUAGCUAAUUCAUUUAACCUUUCUUGUGACAUUGUUGAUCUUAGGUAAGAUUUUAUCAAUUUUAAUUUUAAAAACUUUUUUCCACUGAAGCAACGGUAACAUGAGUUAUUAACAUUAUUCCAUAAGCAAUUUAAACAUUUGGAAAAGAAUUAAAUCUUUUUAUUUUGUUAAGUGUAUCAAUUAAACUGCUAUCUUCUAAUUGUACUAUUUUCCUUAAUACUUUUAUCAGAAAAUAAAUCUAAACCAUUAAAUACGAAUUGAUUAUUAUGCUUUAAGGUACAGUCAAGAUUAAGGCAAUAUUUUUUAAAAUUUUCAACAUCUAGUGAUCUUAGUUUUUGCCGCCAAAUAGAAAACCAAAAAUAUUUUCAUAUGCUGCGAAUUGUUCAAAUCUAUUUUGAAGUGAAAAAACAGCCUUGUCUAUUAUGUAUAAAAGUAAUCAACUCUAAAGUACUCUUCGAAAGAUUUUGAGAUUUCAUUAUUAACAUUCGCAUCAAAUUGUUACUUCUUAUUUAUCACACGUUUCUUACGAAAUCGGGUUCGAUAUUCAUUUCAAGUGCAAUUUCCUUGGUAGAAAUCAUAGCAGUUGUAAAUCCUCUUAUCUAUAUUUGUUAAAAAAAGAAAUCAAACUUUUUCACUUACAUAACUUUUUUAAAAGUUAUACAUAGUUUAUUAGGUGUAACAAAUAUGGGGUCUCAUUAUGGAAGGGCCGCCCCUGCUUAUGACACUACUUUCGUUUAUGUGAUUCUAGGUCUAGCUCCUCUCCUUUAUCACCUUCAAUUAUCAUAGUAUAUGUCACCUACAGAUUCGUGCAUAUGGAGGUCUGCAUAAGAUAUUCCAAAUCUCAAGUGACCAUAGCUGAGAAAAGUUAAUGGUCUGAUGAACUUUUUUUGUUGCUUUGGCAUCAGCUGCUUUCUCAAGAUAUGUUUGUGGUUGAUGUAGAAUUGCAGAAUGGACUUGCUUUCCUUUACAAACUCGAUUUAUUAUCUGAAAUGUGGUCAUCUUCUAUGGAGAAUAAGCUCUGCGCUACAAUUUUCGUGUGUAGGAGUUUGAGAGUUUUAUCCUUGUGAUGGAUAAAUGAUAAUUGAAACCACAUUAUUCAUUCCAUGUCCUGUUUAUAACAUUGUUCUGAAUAUAUAUUUUAAGUUGAGAGGAGGUCGAAAAUGAAGGAUGAGAAAAUACAUAAAUUGAAUCUGUAUAAGUUGAAUAUCCUUCUAAAGAAAAAGAUGCAUAAAUUGUGAAGCAGGUAAACUUGAAAUUUCCCCACAACAGGAUCUCCGUUUUUAAUAUAGCUGAAUGUGUUGCUAUUUAUCUUUGAGGUGCAGCUUGGGACUUUGAUGGAAGCCAUUGAAGCGGGAAAUGUAUUAAGAGAGCUACCAAGAGUCAAAAGAUGAAAUCAAGGAUAGCGAUAGCAUAAGCUACAAGGAGAGGUAGGUUUCAUACAACUGUAGUUAUAGCGAUAACUGAUAAAUACAGAUAGUAUCGCACAAAUGUCCCUAGUGUAAAUACUUUUCAGCUGGGCAUAGUAAUCUCAUAUUGGAUGCUGUCCGAGUAACUAUUCUGAAUUAAAAGAAAUUCGAG
rnacentral:lncRNA from 1 species